rnacentral:rRNA from 1 species
UACACUCCUACGGGAGGCAGCAGUGGGGAAUUUUGGACAAUGGGCGAAAGCCUGAUCCAGCAAUGCCGCGUGAGUGAAGAAGGCCUUCGGGUUGUAAAGCUCUUUUGUCAGGGAAGAAACGGUGAGAGCUAAUAUCUUUUGCUAAUGACGGUACCUGAAGAAUAAGCACCGGCUAACUACGUGCCAGCAGCCGCGGUAAUACGUAGGGUGCAAGCGUUAAUCGGAAUUACUGGGCGUAAAGCGUGCGCAGGCGGUUUUGUAAGUCUGAUGUGAAAUCCCCGGGCUCAACCUGGGAAUUGCAUUGGAGACUGCAAGGCUAGAAUCUGGCAGAGGGGGGUAGAAUUCCACGUGUAGCAGUGAAAUGCGUAGAUAUGUGGAGGAACACCGAUGGCGAAGGCAGCCCCCUGGGUCAAGAUUGACGCUCAUGCACGAAAGCGUGGGGAGCAAACAGGAUUAGAUACCCCUGUAGUCCCAU